rnacentral:rRNA from 1 species
AUUGAACGCUGGCGGCAGGCCUAACACAUGCAAGUCGGGCGAGCGGCGGACGGGUGUGUAAUGUAUGGGGCCUGCCUGCUGGAGGGGGAUAACUCCUGUAACCGGUUGCAAAUACCACAUAACAUCAGGUAACCCAUAGGGGAUUAGCGUGUAGGUGCGGUAACGGGUAACCGAGGCGACGAUCCCUAGCUGGUCUGAGAGGAUGAUCAGCCAGACGGGGACUGUGACACGGCCGAGACUCCUAAGGUGGCACAAGUGGGGAAGAGGGUAGAAUGGGCGCAAGCCGGAUGCGGCCAUUGCGCGGGAAGGAAGAAGGCGUUCGAGGUGUAAAGGUCUUUAACUCGGGAGGCGGUACCGACAGAAGAAGCACCGGCUAACUCCGUGCCAGCAGCCGCGGUAAUAC